UACGAAGGGGGCUAGCGUUGCUCGGAAUCACUGGGCGUAAAGGGUGCGUAGGCGGGUUUUUAAGUCAGGGGUGAAAUCCUGGAGCUCAACUCCAGAACUGCCUUUGAUACUGAAGAUCUUGAGUCCGGGAGAGGUGAGUGGAACUGCGAGUGUAGAGGUGAAAUUCGUAGAUAUUCGCAAGAACACCAGUGGCGAAGGCGACUCUUUGGCCUGUAACUGACGCUGAGGCGCGAAAGCGUGGGGAGCAAACAGG
rnacentral:rRNA from 1 species